rnacentral:rRNA from 1 species
AGAGUUUGAUCCUGGCUCAGAUUGAACGCUGGCGGCAUGCCUUACACAUGCAAGUCGAACGGUAACAGGUCUUCGGAUGCUGACGAGUGGCGAACGGGUGAGUAAUACAUCGGAACGUGCCCGAUCGUGGGGGAUAACGAAGCGAAAGCUUUGCUAAUACCGCAUACGAUCUACGGAUGAAAGCAGGGGACCGCAAGGCCUUGCGCGAACGGAGCGGCCGAUGGCAGAUUAGGUAGUUGGUGGGAUAAAAGCUUACCAAGCCGACGAUCUGUAGCUGGUCUGAGAGGACGACCAGCCACACUGGGACUGAGACACGGCCCAGACUCCUACGGGAGGCAGCAGUGGGGAAUUUUGGACAAUGGGCGAAAGCCUGAUCCAGCCAUGCCGCGUGCAGGAUGAAGGCCUUCGGGUUGUAAACUGCUUUUGUACGGAACGAAAAGACUCUGGUUAAUACCUGGGGUCCAUGACGGUACCGUAAGAAUAAGCACCGGCUAACUACGUGCCAGCAGCCGCGGUAAUACGUAGGGUGCAAGCGUUAAUCGGAAUUACUGGGCGUAAAGCGUGCGCAGGCGGUUAUAUAAGAUAGAUGUGAAAUCCCCGGGCUCAACCUGGGAACUGCAUUUGUGACUGUAUAGCUAGAGUACGGCAGAGGGGGAUGGAAUUCCGCGUGUAGCAGUGAAAUGCGUAGAUAUGCGGAGGAACACCGAUGGCGAAGGCAAUCCCCUGGGCCUGUACUGACGCUCAUGCACGAAAGCGUGGGGAGCAAACAGGAUUAGAUACCCCGGUAGUCCAA